UACGGGGGGGGUAAGCGUUGUUCGGAAUUAUUGGGCGUAAAGAGCUCGUAGGCGGUUUGUUGCGUCGGCCGUGAAAACCUGCAGCUUAACUGUGGGCCUGCGGCCGAUACGGGCAGACUUGAGUUCGGUAGGGGAGACUGGAAUUCCUGGUGUAGCGGUGAAAUGCGCAGAUAUCGGGAGGAACACCAGCGGCGAAGGCGGCACUCUGGGCUGGAACUGACGCUGAGGAGCGAAAGCGUGGGUAGCAAACAGG
rnacentral:rRNA from 1 species